rnacentral:rRNA from 1 species
ACGCUCGACACCUACUGGAGGCAGCAGUGGGGAAUAUUGCACAAUGGGCGAAAGCCUGAUGCAGCAACGCCGCGUGAGCGAAGAAGGCCUUGGUCGUAAAGCUCUGUCUUCAAGGAAGAUAAUGACGGUACUUGAGGAGGAAGCCCCGGCUAACUACGUGCAGCAGCCGCGGUAAUCUGAGGCGGGCUGGCGAAGGC